GGAAGUGUAAGCAGUUCUGGUGACUGUCCUGGGCUUCAAACCCAGUGAGGGGUCUGAAAAGGCGCCUGGUGGGUUCGAUUCCCAUCCACUUCCGCCA
rnacentral:tRNA from 1 species